AAAUCUCAAGGACUUCACACCGUCGCGAAAAAAGAAAAAAAGCAUCGGUUGUGGUCUAUGCAUUGCCGGAAAAUACAACUUAAGGACUCGGGUGCUAAUCACGUGCACAAGUUUGCACUUUGUGAUCAUCCCGGCCGUCAGUGUGAU
rnacentral:misc_RNA from 1 species